GAAGUGAUGAUUCCCCUGGAAGUCAUCCAAUAUUAAAUGCGUUGCUUCCCACCUUUACAUUAACACAGAAAAGUCACUCGCUGAAAUUUCCAGCAUCCUCAGAGCUUCAAGAGAGAGUCUGUGGCUCUGGAUACAUUCUAAAGAGAUCUGUGACCUGAAAGAGGUUGAGAAGUUAUAAAGAAACAUGUGAAUUAAAAUGGAAGAAAGGGACAAUUGGAAGCAUAUCUGAGGUUCAUCUAAGAAAAAUGAAAAUUUAUGUCCAUACAAAGAUGAGUAGAUAAAUGUAAUAGCCAAAACAUGGAAAAAACAUGCCCAUCAAAGGAAGGUAGACAAAUUACGAUAUAUUCACACAGACUUCUCAGGAACGAAGAGAAACAAACUACUGACACACUGACAUAGAUGAAUCUCACAGACUGCUGGUCAAAAGAAGCAUAUGAAGCUCAAGAACAGGCAAAACUAAUAUGGGGUAAAAAUAAUUAGAACAGUGAUUGCCUUGUGAGAUUGAGGGAUUGAGUAGAAAGGAAUAGGAGAAAACUUUCUAUAAAGAAUGUAAAUGUUCCAAAUUGUGAGGAGUUUAAGUUACACAGGUAUAUGUGCGUGUCAAAAUUUUAUGGCUAAGGUUUGCAUAUAUAUACAUUUUACCUAAAGUAAAAAAAAAACUGUAAUAAUGAUAAUAAAAAUAACCCAUUGAGUGAAGAGAUGGGGGUGGGAGAAGGUAUAGAUGGAACAAGAGAGGCAAAAUGUUAAUUGUUGAAGAUGAGUGAUGGAUAUAUAAGGAUUUAUUAUACAAUUUUGUUUGAUUUCUCUAGUGAUAGGAUUGGGAUGUGCGUUCCCUCUAAAUCUCAUAUUGAAAUGUAUCCCUAGUGUUGGAGAUGGGACCUGGUGGGAGGUGUUUAGGUCAUGGGGGCAGAUCUCUCAUGAAUAGCUUGUUUCCCUCCCUGCAGUA
rnacentral:lncRNA from 10 species